CUGCUGUUGUGGACUCGGCGGUGGGCGAGGCGGCUUUUGUCCUCACACUGUGGGAGGUAGUUAACCAACAUUUUAUUUUAUACUUUGUUUAAUACACUUCUCAUUUAAUAUAAGAAAAAGUCAGCGAGGCAUACUGGUCUCCUCACUGGAUCAUGAGGGACGGGUGAAGUAAGAAGGAGCUGGGCCGGGCCUUCUGUCACCCAAAUUCUGAUUGGAUUCCCACUGCCGGUGCGCUGAGGUCAAGACCUUUGUAGACCAAACGCUGUUUUUACAGUCUUAGGGCUAUAAUUUAUUUAAUACAUUUUAAUCUUACGCUGUUUGGUGUGAGUGUUUUCUUUACACAGACUUUGCAUGGAAAAUAAUACCUCAGUAUACAUUUAUAGAAGCUUUGAAAGGGGAAAAAAUUCUUAAAAGAUGCAUGUGUAUAAUCCUGUUAGGAAUUAUCUUUGUUGUGUUUCUUUAGGUUAAAUGUCAAAGUAGAAUACAUACCAGUUUUCAUAAAACAUGCCUUUUGGACUUUCACUUAUUUAAUAGCACUUUUAUAUGAAACUAGAAACUUACAACAAGUUUGUCAGAAAUGGGACUCUGAGGGGGAGGGGACCCUUACAGAUACUGGAUAAGGUGGAGGUGGAACAGCACUUGUGGACCAUUUAGUGAUCAUUCCCGGCGAGAGUGCCAUGUCUGAAAACUCACAUGAGGACAUGGACUGAGUGUCACAAAAAGAAACAGUCAUAAGUAACUACUUUUACUAAAUAAAUUAGAGUAGAAAUAAUUUAAGCAUUCACCCCAAGUAGCUAGAGAAUGAAUAGCAAAAAAUAAGAGAGUGAGGAGAGAGAUAAAUGUAGAAAUCAGUGAAUUAAAAAAAUAAUAGACUUGAUAAAUCCAUAAGCUGGUUCCUUAAAAAGAAAGAAACCUCUGGCAAAGGUAGUGAAGAAAACAAACAUAUUUAGAAAUAAUGGGAAUAUCAUCACAUGCUGAGAAGGUUUUUAUUUUGACUCUGGGUUUACUCUGUUAAUACGUUGAACAUCUUGAUGGAAUGGAUCAUUUUAUAGGCAAAUGUAAGUUAUCAAAGUUGACUGAAGAAGAAAGCCCGAGUAGACCCAUUACCAUGGAAGGAACUAAAAGUUAUCAGAGAACUGCCCCUUCACAAGGUGGUUUUCACAGACUAGGUCUCAAAGGACACUGCCGUAAGACUGUUGAAACCGCAAGACAGGGAUGCCUGCUCACCUUGCUGUUCUUAGCAGUGUUCAAUCUCGUAGUUACAAACAAGCGUUUCACCACAUGAAUUCUGACAGGACACUUGCACGUUGAUGGGACUUUUUGGGAGACUGCUCUAAGCACUGCGUAAGUCUGGUGUCCCUGGCCCCCUGCCAUAGUGCCCCCAAACCUUUGUAAAAACAAAGCCUCCUUGUGGCUCCUGAGAACAACUGACCCACCCGAACCACCUCAGCAUCAAUAAAAAUGUAUUAGAACCAAUAAGAGCAUGGUGACCACUUAUGAAAUAUGCAUGCAGCAACCAGUGAUAUUCUCUAUGUCAUCAGAAUUCAGUUAGAGAGGUGGCGGUUGUGCUGGUUCACAACAGUGUGAAUGGACUUAGCGCCCCUGAACCUACACUUAAUGUAGUUAAGAUGGUGCAUUUUGUUAUAUGUUUUGCCACACAAAAAAAAGUUUAAAUUUUGCAUUACAAUAUUGAGUGAAAACAGAUUCCACGUACCGUAGUAACAAAUAACAAUUGGUGGGGUUAAAUCCUAUAAGAAGCAUACAGUAUAGAACCUUUACGGAGAACUGUAGAACUUCGACUGGGAUCAGUGUCUUUCCAGACGGGCCAGUGUUUUCAGAAGUCACAUGUUUUUUGGGCGAAGGAGUGGCUUGGCAAAUUUAUUCUAAUGGGUAUCUGGAAGAGUAAAUGGUUCUUUUUUAAGAAGAGCGUAUGGAUCAAACGUAAGUACCCUAGAGCUACACUACUUCAGUGCUGUAUGGAAGAUGCUACAGACCUCAGAAGCUCACCUAACAUGGUGAGCAUGUAGAAGGUGAGGGCCGGUCAGCCACCAGGAAUAUAAAGUUAGAUCCUUACUGAUGCCCUCUACCAAAAUUGUAUACAUUAGAAUUGUAACACUAAACAAACAAAGCCACAGAGGUGCUGGAACAGGGCAGUGUGUGUUUAGUAUGAGGAGAUAAGCCUCUAAACUUGGCAUAGGUCAUAAUUUGACUAUGAAGAAUUUAACAUUUUCAUGCCCAAGUGCACCGUGAAGUCAAAAGGUAAAUGACAGAGCGUUUUGUGACGGGUGUUGCUGACAAGGCGUAAGUAACUAUAUAACGUCGUCUUUCAGAGGAAAAUGGGGAACACGAGUGAGUAUUUCAUUAAAGAGAAAACCCAGUAGACAGUAAGCAUGAGGAAAUUAUUAACUCAUUAAUAAUCAAAGGAACAUAGACUUUGUUAAUCAUCAGUUUCUCAACGGCAAAAAGAAAUGAACAUACUCGUGGUUGUUCAUGUGAGAUGGAAAUGAUUGUCAUUUCUUGUGUGUAGAGUGUUGUAAUCAAUUUGAUGAUGUUUAGCGAAAGCCUUAGGAAUAUGCCUUUCAUUUCCCCAGGAUUCCUGCUUCCAGGGAUUUAUUCUCAGGCAGCAGUUAGGGCUCUGCAGAAUGACGUGGCUGUGAGGUGGUUCGUCAUGGCCUUGUUAGGUGGUAACCAAACCUGCGGGUGACAGCCUGGCUUACCCAACAAGCAGGGGUUAUUAGUAUAGUGAGUUGGCACUAAUCUUUUACCUUUUUACAUGAAAAAGAAGAUAUAAAAAUAUAUUCUGACAUGGUUUUAAAAAUAAUGCCUGUAUGUUCAUAGAAAAAAAACCUGCUUUCCUAUUAAAAACAGAGUGGAAAGGAAAUGUACCAGCGGGUAAGUGGGGGCUCUGGAUGGUGGAGCGAGAGAUCCUUUACAUUUUCCUCAUUUGUUUAACUGCACUUUCUUUUCUUUCU